AGCUCACCACUGGGCACUCCUGAUAAUCUGGGCUCCCAGCCGCAGGUGGGGCCAGUCUCCAGUCUCAGCUUCCCGCCAAGAAGCUGAGACCUACCCCCUCCCCCAAUUCAGCCCUAGGCCGCCUCACUCCUCCUCGGGGCUGGCAAGGUACCAUACAGCUAGCCCCUCCAGGCUCGGCACUCAGGCCCAGCCGAUCCCUCGCCCUCGCCACUCUUGCCCCGUCAGCCCCGCUCCGCGCACGGCCCGGCCCCCACCUCUGAAACGGUCUCUCGAGGAUCCCCUCACAGCGGAUCACAGAACCUCGCAUGGUUCCCUCCGCCUUCCUUUUCCCCCAACCCCCACAGUAGGCCCCACUACGGACCGGAAGCCGUAGAGUUUCCGCCAGUAGCACCUGCGGGCGGCCAUGUUGCUGUACGGCACCUAGUCCUCUCGUUAGCCGGAAGCGUCGCGUGACCCGCCCACCUAGGAUGCCGCUUCCAGUGCGCAGACGCUCGGGGGGCGGGGCUUUGGCACUCCAGUAUGGGGUGCGCCAUGUUGCCGUACGGCACCGGCCUGGCCUGCACAACCCUCCUCGGGGAAGGCGUGGAGCUCUCUGCCUCUGCACCUGGUGCCUGCCGAGGUGCCUUCCGACUGGGGCGGACGCACAUGCACGCGAAUGAGCACAGCACGCCGCGCAAGUGAGGUAUUGUUAUUAUUGCCGUCGGUGAGCGCUGCCCACGCGGCACCACCGACGUGGCGGCCGGCCCUCUGUUCCUCCGGGGGUCAUCCUGACCAGAGGGCUGUGCUUCACGGUGGGGUUCGCAGGGCCGGAGGCAGGGCGCGGGACAACCUCGCGGGCUUGUGGAGAAGCCGCGUAAACUGCCGCUGGGAGCGCGGAAGACGAAAAGAGGCUCAUAAAAUCCCUCGGGGCGUCUCCUCACGGAGCUGCGGAGAAAAGAGGUCCGGGAGAUCCGCUGUGACGCCCGCCGGCUAGGGAGGCGAGGCCCGCACGUGUGUUGCUGAGGAAGCCAGAAGUGAACACCCUUCGCGCUAUGGUCACCCCUCUGCAGCCUUCCACGUUCCUCAGGUGUUGGACAUCUUGCCUAUUCGCGGAGCCAAGAAGUCCAGUGGUUCGCAGAGGACCCGAACCUCAAACUCGCUUAAAAAACAAAACAAAAAACCCACCUCGCUUCCUGUCCAGUCCUCUGAGCUUAUGGCAUUUAAAUUGGGAAACAGAAAAGCUCUUCAAUAGUUAACGGGACUCUAAAGAUAAUGAAGGAUUUAAUUUCCAUACCAUUGGGUUUCCUGAGUGGAUGCCUGAAAUGAAGGUUGCCCAUCUUUUCACAAUUUUUAUUUUCUGUUUUUGUCUGUGUGCCUCGCGCACGAUCGCAGGUUCUCAGGACCUACAUAAAGACUCAAUCACCUGUAACCCCGUUCCCAGCCUUCCAAUAGGCAUGCUCGUGAUGAACAUACAUGCAGGCAGAACAUAAGCACAAAGUAAAACAAAUAUUUUUUAAAUUAGUAAUUAAGCAAACUAACUGCAAGUCCUAGGCUGCGGUAACAUGGAAUAAGGGGAUGGAACUAAGGAAGGCGCAGGACGAUGGGGAAAAUGCUGACUUGGAAAACAUCUUCCAUGGGAGUGAGAGGGGGUGUGAGGGAGUAAUGGAGGUGAAAACGGCAGGAUACAGUACAUAAUGAAUAAAUAUAAACAUGG